GGGUGGAAAAAAUCAACAGCCAAAUAAGAACUUUCUUGGAAAGAAAAGAAGAUGACUAUCAGGUUCUCUGUACCAACAUGGGUUUUUCCAGAUUGCUGAAAAACUCCUGUCUAGAAGGAUUUCCCUGAGGCGUUGUUGGAGGAAAAGCAAAGGUUGCCGCAAACUUUGAAAGGUGGAAGAAGAUAGACCGGCUAGCCGUCAAAACAAAAAGCUUUCCUGUGGGAACCAAAUGGCAUAGGAGUGCAGCCUCCCAGCUACCUUCAUCGGACUGUGAUUGGUGACACCUGGGGGGGGGGAAUAUUUGCUCUUUUAAUUAGGAGGGAAACCACGGGAACUUUUAGAGUUGGUUUUCACUAGCUGUGUCAAUAUGGUGUGUCCAAUAAACAUGUUAUUUGAGAAAUCUACCUGCUUUCUUCUGCUUUUGGUGGAUGCAUUACUCAGAACUCUAACAUUAAACCAACUCU